AGGUUUAUCGCUUUGACAUUGAUCAAAAGUAAAUUGGACAUCCGUAUUGAAGAACAUAAAGUAUUCAAGAUGUUGCCAAUAAUAAUAUUAUUGACUGUUUUCGUGUAUCUUCUAUCACUUUGGAUAAGAUGGAGAAAAAGAAAGAUGAGCCUGUUUCAAAGAUAUGGAAUUCCUGGGCCUAAUCCCAAUUUCAUUACUGGAAAUGCAAUGGAAUAUAACAGAAAAAGGAACAAAUGCAUUGAUGAAUGGAUAGAAAAAUAUGGAAAUAUUUUUGG